AAAAAAAAAAAAAAGAAGGUGUUAAUUUCGUAAUAAAAGCGAGAUCCAAACCCGAAACGAGUAAAAGAAACUAUCCUCAAAAUUCCCAAAAGCCCAAACCAAAGCGGAGGUGCAGCCACCCUUUCAUUUUGUGUGUUGGCACCUGUGGCUUAUGACCAUCCUUUGACACUUUGACCUUUCAGUCUCACUCAUCCCUCCACCCUCACCGACACCACCACCUCUACUAUGAGAAAAGACUGUCCGCCGCUCUCCUCCGUCACUGGCGGCAAGCUACCUUCAUGUUUGGAAACUAAGCCUUUAGUAGCCACAUUACUAGCUCUCACUCUAGUCAUGCUUCUCUGGAACCUCCCUCCUUACUACCAAAACCUCCUCUCCACCACCCGUCCUUGCUCUGCCCCCGCCGCCGCCGCCGCCCUUGCUGCAUCAAAUGCUUCCUCAUUACCUAUUACCUCAGUAUCUGAACAGAAAUACUCGACCGGCGUUUCAGACCCAAACAAGCGGAUCUUUGAAGCAUACGGGAACGCGGCAGCUCUCUUUGUUAAGAUGGGGGCAUACCGAGGUGGGCCCAGGACAUUUGCAGUGGUAGGACUCGCUUCCAAGCCUAUUCAUGUGUUUGGGCGUCCUUGGUACAAAUGCGAGUGGAUCUCUAACAAUGGUUCUUCUAUGAGGGCUAAGGCCUAUAAGAUGCUUCCUGACUGGGGCUAUGGUCGUGUCUACACUGUUGUCGUUGUCAAUUGUACUUUCCCACUCAAUCCUAACCGGGAAAAUGCUGGUGGUAAGCUCAUCCUCAAUGCCUAUUACGGUGAAUCUCCAAGGAAGUACGAGAAAAUCGUUGCUUUAGAGGAGGCGCCUGGUUCCUAUAACGACUCUAACUAUCACCCUCCUUAUCAGUACGAGUAUCUCUAUUGCGGCUCUUCUUUGUAUGGGAAUUUGAGUGCUGCUAGGAUGAGGGAAUGGAUGGCUUACCACGCCUGGUUCUUUGGACCCAGCUCCCAUUUUGUGUUUCAUGAUGCUGGUGGAGUUAGCCCUCAAGUAAGAGCUGCCCUUGAGCCCUGGGUGCGAGCUGGGAGGGCUACGGUUCAGGAUAUCAGAGGACAGGCCGAGUUUGAUGGGUAUUAUUAUAACCAAUUUCUGGUGGUGAAUGACUGCUUGCAUCGGUACCGGCAUGCUGCCAAUUGGACAUUUUACUUUGAUGUGGAUGAGUAUAUCUAUUUGCCUGAUGGCAGUACCUUGCAAUCGGUGCUUGCUGAAUUCUCGGAUUAUACUCAGUUCACUAUUGAGCAGAACCCAAUGUCUAGUGUGCUCUGUUUGAAUGAUUCCAGUCACGACUAUCCCAGGGAGUGGGGAUUCGAGAAGCUAUUAUUCAGAGAAUCAAGAAGUGGGAUUCGGAGGGAUCGCAAAUACGCAAUACAGGCAAAGAAUGCAUUUGCUACAGGAGUCCACAUGUCUGAGAAUGUGGUUGGGAAGACCUUGCACAAGACUGAAACAAAGAUUCGUUAUUAUCACUACCACAACUCCAUCACAGUGCAGGGCGAACUAUGCAGGCAACUUCUACCAGCAUCAGCAAAGCACAAUGUCACUUGGUACAAUAAACUGCCGUAUGUCUACGAUGACAAUAUGAAGAAGCUGGUGACCACCAUCAGGGAUUUUGAGAGAAAUACAAUCGGAAACGUACGGCAAUACUCAUGAUUUUGAAAUUAACAGCAAAACCAAAAUCCCACAUGUGUGCAUUAUUUGACACUUCACGCGUGAUCGUGAAUUCAUUCACUUUUGCUGAAAAUGCACUCCUCUUUCCUGUGUUGUGCUGUGCUGUGCUCCUCCCCCCCAACACAUCUCUGCCUCUAUGUCUGUGGUCAGACACUAAAAUUGCAACAAAAAAGAGGGAAGCUAAGGAUGGAUGCCAUGUGAUGUGAUGAUUAAACAACAGACAAGCUGUUGAAUGAAAUAUGUGGUGUGUGUGUGUGUGGGGGGGUGGUGGGGGCCCUCUUUUCUAACUUUUCUUUGUUGAUUGACAAGUGGUAGACAGUAUCUACAACCACGAAGACAAGGGCCUUUCUGUACGAGGGAGUCAGUCAGCCUUUCAGAGCCCAAUAGUCCAAAUAAAUUCAUAAAAACAAGGCCCAAUUGUUGAGACAAGGGGAGUGAAGAGUCUAGUUAAGCUUUUCAGAUUUUUUAUUUAUUAUAGCGGAUUUCCCUUUUCAUCUGAAGAAUAAUUUAUGGUCCACAUCACAUCUACUCUCAAACAUAAUCCUUUGUUCCUGA